UAAAGAAGAGCAAAGAACGUGAGAGAGAAGAAAAGGCAGAGAGUGUGGAUGGAAUCCACCAAACCUGACACUUGUUUCUGGUUUCACCGAGAGAAAAGAAUACGUGAAGUGCACCUUGCAACAUGGCGUCUAAUCCCAAUAUCACGCACGCAAGUUUCCAUGCCAGACAUUCUCCUCCUCCUCUUAUUCUUCUUAUUCUCCUUGUCUGUGCCUCUGUUCUGUUAAUUGAUGUAGGUCUGCUCCUUGAACCUAAAAAUUAGCCUUCUUUUCCUCUCUCACACUCUUCGUUCUUCUUUACCAAAGGAACUUAUUCCGAAAGUAACUGAAUCAGACAAGCUUUUGUAUUCCAGUGAAAUACAGCUGGUAAAGAAGAGCAAAGAGUGUGAGAGAGAGUUAAAAAGGAGGGAGUGUCUUAGCUACACCUCUAUUUUGAUAACUGAUGUAGAUUUGCUCCGUGAACCUACAGAUUAGCCUCCAAAGGAAAAAUACUCUGUUCAACUUGAGGGGAAAACCUAUUUUCCUGUUUUCCCGUCAGCCAAAGAGAAUGAGAGAGAGGAGGAGGCUUCUGUCAUUAAACGUUGGAAACUUGAAUGCUUGAUAUUGGGAUUAGACUUCAUAUGUAGGCUACGUUUCCCAACUCAUUCAGAUUUGGUGGAUUCUUGCCUUCUUUUCUUCUCUCAUACUGUUUGCUUUUUUUCACCUGCUAAAACCUUUGUAUUCCGCUGAAAUACAAAAGCUCUCCUUCAGUGCUUUGGUCUU